AAUAACUGGGGGCGAGGUUGCGGGGGAAGACGAAGGGUCCAAUCGUUGUUCGGAAUUGUUGGGUUUAAAGGGUGCGUAGGUGGAGUAAUAAGUCAGGGGUGAAAGACAUCGGAGCAACCGAUGCAGUGCCUUUGAUACUGUUGAGCUUGAAUUAUGUUGAAGAUGGCGGAAUGAGACAAGUAGCGGUGAAAUGCAUAGAUAUGUCUCAGAACACCGAUUGCGAAGGCAGCUGUCUAAACAUGGAUUGACACUGAUGCACGAAAGCGUGGGGAUCAAACAGGAUUAGAUACCCGGGUAGUC
rnacentral:rRNA from 1 species